ensembl:processed_transcript
AAAAACUCACCAUCAGCCAUCCUGACGUUUGUUAUAAUGGGAGUCGAUCGUCUUCUUGUGUCCUUCAUUCUUGUCCUCAUCUCUGAAACAGGCUUCAGUGCUGAGAUCUCUGUGUUUGUGCAGACUGGAGAUUUUGUUCAGCUGGAUUUACAGACACAACAACUACCAGAGUUUGAAGAUUUUUUUUCUGGAUAAAUGAUAAAUCAGAGAAUAUAGUUAAAUAUUCUAAUGAAUAUAAGAGGAUUAAAACUUACCCGUCCUAUCAGAAGAGAAUAGAGUUUAAUGAAACAAGUUUCUCUCUGUCACUGAAGAACAUGCAGAAGACAGACAGUGGACGAUACACAGCAAGAAUGAGCGGAGAUUUAGACAAAGACAUUGCUUUAUACAGAGUAUCUGUUAUAG